rnacentral:rRNA from 1 species
CCUACGGGAGGCAGCAGUGGGGAAUAUUGGACAAUGGGCGCAAGCCUGAUCCAGCCAUGCCGCGUGAGUGAUGAAGGCCUUAGGGUUGUAAAGCUCUUUUGUCCGGGACGAUAAUGACGGUACCGGAAGAAUAAGCCCCGGCUAACUUCGUGCCAGCAGCCGCGGUAAUACGAAGGGGGCUAGCGUUGCUCGGAAUCACUGGGCGUAAAGGGCGCGUAGGCGGCCAUUCAAGUCGGGGGUGAAAGCCUGUGGCUCAACCACAGAAUUGCCUUCGAUACUGUUUGGCUUGAGUAUGGUAGAGGUCAGUGGAACUGCGAGUGUAGAGGUGAAAUUCGUAGAUAUUCGCAAGAACACCAGUGGCGAAGGCGGCUGACUGGACCAUUACUGACGCUGAGGCGCGAAAGCGUGGGGAGCAAACAGGAUUAGAUACCCGUGGUAGUCCACGCCGUAAACGAUGAAUGCUAGNGUGUGGUG